GUGGGCUUAAAAUAGCCGCUUUGGAACUUUGUUUUGGGGGUAACUGCAUAGAUGAGUGUGCAUCUCUGCUGAGAUCGUUCAGGGUAAUGAGCUUAAAACGGCGUUAGAAAAGCAUGGGAAAGUGCUGCCAGGACUCCUCCCGAAGCUUCGCACACGCAACAGGCCUGCGAGAGGCUCUUGCCAGCCAGUCCCAGGCAUGAAGAGCUGUGAAGGUCUCAAAGAGGUUGCUUGGCUGAAGUCAAUCAGUUCCCUAGGAAGAAGAAAUGGAGGACAUUUGGCAUAGAUCAAUGCCAGCUUUGACACGGUGAAGUCAAAACAGCCAUGACAAUUGUACCAAGAAAUGGAUCAGCUUUCCAGUCUCUUCAUGCCCACUUAUUUGUGAACAGGAGAUUUUCUCAAAAGUGAAUGGGGCUGUCCUGGAGAAAGCCACUGACAAAUCCCUCACUGAGCCCUAGAGGAGAAGAGUCCCUGAUCUAAUUAUUCCUCUUUUGAGAGGAAGGAUUGGAUAA